rnacentral:rRNA from 1 species
UACGUAGGGGGCAAGCGUUGUCCGGAAUCAUUGGGCGUAAAGCGCGUGUAGGCGGCCAGAAAAGUCCGCUGUGAAAACUCGAGGCUCAACUUCGAGCUGUCGGUGGAAACUUUCUGGCUAGAGUCCGGAAGAGGAGAAUGGAAUUCCUGGUGUAGCGGUGAAAUGCGCAGAUAUCAGGAAGAACACCCGUGGCGAAGGCGGUUCUCUGGGACGGUAUUGACGCUGAGACGCGAAAGCGUGGGGAGCAAACAGG